CGCAUGUUUAUACUGCUUACUUGAAACACUUGAUGUUGAUAUUGCAUUUUUGCCUGACAUAAAUUGCUGAAGAUAAAUGAAAAGAAAUCUUGAAAAUCCUUUGUUAAUUGUUAAAAGUGAUUACCUGUUUUACAGUUUUGUGAGUUAGAGCCUGCUAUAUAAAAUCCAUGAUUUCCUCUAUCUGAUACACAUUAUUUUCAUACUCAUACUACACUUCUAUGAAUUUUUGUUGCACAAGUUUAUUGUGUGGCUUGUGGUUUAAUAGCAUAGCGGCAUGGCUGGCACAGAGACUAGGUGAGCUAUAUCUUAUCAAGGAGAUUCCACAGCUAGUAUAGUCUCUCUCUGGACUUCCUUUAUUUUCUACCCAAUUGUAUUCCGGACAGUUAUUGUACUUAUUGGUUUCUCUUAGAAAAUAAUCAUGUACUUAUGACACCGAGUUCUGGGAUGUAUUUAGGUUUAUUCGGAAUUUUAAAGGUUGUUUAAAUGUUUCAUUACUAAAUUCAGAGAAUUAUACUGAGUACUCUUUUAAUCGUAUAAAAGAGAUAUAUUAAAUUUAUUAAAACGAGAAUUCAAUUAAGUAUUUCAGUUGGCUUGCCUGACAGCGCUGUCCGGCGCCACCACGACCCUUAGUGGAUUUUGGAUCGUGAUAGUCCAGGCCUAAGGUCCUGACCAAGACGUUGACUUCCUGAAACUACUUGUGCCAAAGUCGAGAGCACACGAGUCGAGGGUCUCGUUGCUGAGAAUUUACUUAGCCAUUCCUAUAUGAGACAUGAGCGCGGAGAACCAUGAAACGAGUGACACCUCGUGGAUUGGGCCUAUUCAAUCAGGUUGGGAUCGAACUCGUGCCGAUCACAUGGUGAUUGCAGCAGAAUUAAGCCAUGAUAGUUAGACGAGAAACUUACACAAAUGUCACAAAUAAACCUCAACUUACCAACCUCCACCCAUUAAUCAUAGGCUUACCCAAACUAGCCAACAAAAAUUAAAAAACCAAAUAAUAGAGUUCUUUCUCUCAAAUAAUCACAUGCAAAAAUGACCUUCCAUAUAUUUAAGCGUGAUUAGCAACACUAGAUACAAUAUGGAAAGGAAAUUUUAUGGAUGAGGUAGCAAACAAGGUGAUGAAAUACAAAAAAUAUAUACAAUAUUUCAAAAAUCUAAACAAAAAAGACACUUUUUCAAUGGGUAUAGUUGAAAUUCACCGAAAAUAUAUAGAUAAGUCAAUAUACAAUGUUUGAGGAAUAUUGGAGUUGAUUUGGACUGGUUUUGUAUAAAAAUUCGUAAUUAAAUCGAGUUCAAAAAAGUCUUCUGCGACACAUGUAUCAAACAUGUAUCACGCAUGUAUCUAACACACAUGUAUAUAUGGAUAUACAUGCGAUACACAAUAGAUACAAAUAGGAUACAUAUGUGAUACACAAAGAUACACAGUGUGAUCGAAUUUUCAAUUCAACCCACCUCAAAACUUCACCACAUAAUUUCAAAACUAAGAUUUAAUCUCCUUAACUUAUGCCCAAUCUAUUCUAAUAACACCCACUCAAAACAAAGCAAAAGUUUGAUAAUUAUUUUCUACAAAUAAUUAAUUGGCUAAUUUAGCUAAUAUAAGUAAUAUUUUACCCAUUGACCAACUUUUAUAAUGAGCUACCUAUAAAUGGACAUAGCUGGUAAUUUUCCCAGUUGGAACACCCAAAGUAUAAAGUGAAAUAUUUUUUUAAUAAGCAAGAUUAAAAAAAGAAUUUCUUUUAGAAUAUUCAUUAAACUGCUAUCAUGCAACUAUUUUAGAAUUAUUCUUAUAAGCUUUAUAUUUUACAUGCAUUUAGAACCUCUGCUCAUAAUGUUUAUGUUAUUAAAGUUUUUCCUCUUUUGUUGAGACUCAUUGAGUACAAUGGAUGGUAUUGACGUUCUCUUUUGGGAACCUACGUUGGUUUGUGGUACAACGUAGGAACCGAAUUUGCAGGCGAGUAGGCUACGAGUUAGGACUUCCUUCUCUUCCAGUGCUAUUGGUGAGCUCCACUUUUGUUCGUGGAUUUACAGGCGAGCAGGCUACGAGUUAGGACUUCUUUCUCUUUCAGUGAUAUUGUUGAGCUCUGCUUUUGUUCGUGGAGUAUUGCUUAGAGUCAUCUUUAUUUAGUUAUUUCUUUGUUACUUAGAGAACUGACUAGGAAAUCUCAUGUCCUGAGCAGUGCGCCAGUUUAUCAGUAGAGGCUUCAUAGACAUUGUCGUUGGGUUAAGAUUCAGAUGUUUUUGAUAACAACUUAGCUUUAGUUCAUUGGUUAUUAUUAAUAAAGUUUCGGAAGUUGAUUUAUUCAAAUAUUUAAAUUAAUCAAAAGUAUUUGGUUACAGUAUUUCCUUGUUGCAUAAAAAGUUUGGAGUUAUAAUAGAUUUGAUAAGCAGAAAUGGAUCGCUCGGUCAUGUUUAGUAAUCAAGUGCCGAUCCCGGCUUGUUCAGGAAAUGGGUCGUGACAGUUAACCCCUAAACGAGGGUGUCCUCUUUUGUAGGACUUGGUGGAAUGAAGACAGAGUUUAACAAGUUGAUGAUGUUAGGCGGGAGAUCUAUGGAUAAUGUAAAUAAGUCCCAAACUCAUGAAUUGUAGACUAAGUUACCUUGGCAUUUAGGUCAUUUCGGGACAGAGGGCCCUCAAUUAGUUCCCUAAUUGCUGGUUGGUUGGGUAUCCAAGCAUCAUUCAAAAAAUUAACCCUAUUUUCUCGAUGAACUACUCAUCCGCUUGCUUUGCUACAAAUGUUCAAUCCCCUAAGGAUGCACUGCCAUGUAGGGGAUUUGGGGUACCUAGGAUAUCUAGAGGUUCUAAUUAUCCUAUGAGUUGGUAGUUGGUUCACAUAUCAAAUUAAAACUAACAUCUCUAAUUAGGGAUGACAAACGGUCGAGGCGAGUCGGAAUGAGUAAAAAAUGUUUAAUGUAAAAAUGGUUAAAUUAUCUGGUCCGACCCAUAUUUAAUAGGGAUAGAAAAUAGGUUAAUUGACAAAUAAUAUGGAUAUCCAUAUUAUCUAUGACUUAUUGAAUAUGAUUACUUUGGGAGAAUUUCUAGUCUUCCAAAUUUUAAAAACCUACAAUUUAAGUCUUUACAAAUGUAAAAAUAAAUUCCAUUGGCUGUUCAUUUUUUAUGGAUCUUGUCACACCUUCUUGUUCCGCACCCCGAGGGGUGAAAGAGUUUUUUUCAAUUAAAGGACAAUCGAAGGGGAUUUGUUUAUUUAUUUCAAAGUCGCCACUUGGGAGAUUUAGGGUAUCCCAAGUCACCGGUUUUAAUCCACACCCCAACUCACCAGUUUUAAUCCCGAAUCGAGGAAAAUAAUUGACUCUAAAUUACAAUCUGCAUACCAGAUAUCCAGAUAAGGAAUUUUGUUAAACCGGGAGAAGGUGUUAGGCAUUUCCGAAUUCGGUGGUUCUAGCACGGUCGCUCAACUGUUAUAUUCAGCUUAUUUAUCUGAUUUUAGUAAUUAUGCACUUAGUGCAAAUUGUGAGUUGUUACCGCUUUUAUUAUUAUUAUUGUUAUUUUCGAAAAGAAUUACAACAUUGUGAAAACGUAUGUCGAACCACGUCACAACCAGUGUACACAUAGUCGUCGACACAUUUCGACUUCGUUGAGAUUUGGAUUUAGGCUUCAUAGAUGCACACCCGCAUUUAAGGAAGUAAUUUUAUUAAAGACGCUCCCUAAGCGACCAACGUAGCGUUAUUUUGGGCAAGACCGUGAAAUUUUGUUAAACGGCCCAUUCCAGAGUCUAACCUACUUUGUAAAUACGUAUGGAGGGCCCCGCAACUUGCAAUUUAUUAGGCUCGGCUCGGCUCGGCUCAUUUUAUUAUUUGAAAGGCAAACCUAUUGCAACUACGAUAUUUUUUUUACUGUAAGAGGGCCAUGAAAAAUUCAACUAAUGGCACGUCCCCGUUUCUAUAUGGUUAAAAUUAAUUAAGUGAGAGCCAUGAGUUUUCGAAUAAAUUGAUAUGGAAUCAAUAUAUUCUUUUACAUUAUCAAUUUGCAUAUUCUCUAUUUACAUAAUACUAGCCAAAAUAUAUUUACACAGUAACAAAUAUUACCAAGAAACGUUGAUCCACAAUACUAGGAGAGCAAAGAAAAUAAGCUGAAAAUAUUUCAAGUUUACAUUCCACUGCAUAUAUUUAUAUAAAAAAAACGUGAAAAAGGACUAAAAUAUGCAUGAUACACAUGUACAUCAGUGUUUACACGCAACUGCAUAUAUUUUAUAUAAAAAAACGUGAAAAAAGGGACUAAAAUAUGCAUGAUACACAUGUACAUCAGUAUAUGAAGACGUGCCUAUGCGUAUUCAAGGCAUGGAUUCAUUUUUAUUCUAGAAAGAUCAAUAAUUCUACAUGACACAUUCAUUGUUUCAAUCUAUCGGACCACAAUAUCAGAUUAGCAGCACAAAGGAAACAAAAAUAUAGAGAAAUGAGAGACUUACCUAACAAUAAAAAAUAGGUGAAUUUGACGAUCCAAACAAAAACCAACCAUAAGUUGAUAUCCAAUGAACUAGCAGUCAAAUUCAAUUCCCUUUGCACCUCAAUAGCAAAGAAAGUCAGCAAUUACACAUAUCUUGACUCCAAAAUUCGUCCAAGAAAGCAAUAACAAGUUGGACCCAGAACCGCAAACAAAACUUGGCCAAACUGGAAACCUUCGACCGAAGACUGCGAAAUCUCUAAUGGAAAUCUCGAAUGGAACUCAUAACAUGAAUGGCAACCUCAAGAGUGGUUUCAUGGAUGCACAUGCUGGUCGAUUCUGGAGGUUUUGAGACGGGGAGAGGCUGGCGAUGGAGAUUGGAGGAGAAGGAGUGGUCGUUUGGGCUUGAAGAAGAAGAGACAGCGAGCUCACUGUUGCGGGUGGUGUUCAGCUGGUUGUGACUGAUGGUUGCUGGUCGUUUGAGGGCUGUUGGGCUGCUGGACAGCGUUGGAGAAUGAGGAAGGUGACCGGUCUGCUGAGGUUGUUUGGAUGGUGACUGGAGGAGUUUGUUCAAGGGUGAGAUUGUUGUUGGUUAUGAAGAAGACGAAGAAGAACAAUCCUCUCCCCCUCUCCUCAAUGUGUAUGGUCUAUUUUAUUCAAAAUUCCUCACCUUUUUCUUUUUCAUUUGACUAAGUCCCCUUUUCUUAGUAUCCAGCUGCCUCUUUUUAGAAUCUAAGGCGUGCAAAAAAAAUAGUGUUCUGUCCCCAUGCCUGUCAUUAUUGUAGUUCCCUUUUUUUUUAAAGAAUGUUGACCAUCCGUGAAUCCCUCCCCCAAUUGUGUAAUUGUGUCUCCCCUGGUCUCGUGUUACGUAUAAGGUGUGG
rnacentral:lncRNA from 1 species